GGAGGGGACCUCCAGACAGUUCGCGAGGUUUUGGCCCUCUCUAAAGCCAAUUCCCCGGGGCUCAUUUUCUUAUCUGAAACUAGACAAGCCUCAAAUAAAAUGGAGCGACUUAAGUGGAGACUACAGAUGAAAGGUUUUGCAGGAGUAUCAAGUCAGGGUCUUAGUGGAGGCCUUGCUCUUUACUGGGAUGAGAGUUUG
rnacentral:rRNA from 1 species